GAUGAAGAACGCAGUGAAAUGCGAUAAGUAAUGCGAAUUGCAGAAUUCAGUGAAUCAUCGAAUCUUUGAACGCACAUUGCGCCCGCUAGUAUUCUGGCGGGCAUGCCUGUCUGAGCGUCAUUUCAACCCUCGCCCCCGGCUUUUGCUGGGAGCGGUGUUGGGGAUCGGCCGCCCGUCACUGGGAGGCCGGCCCCGAAAUAGAGUGGCGACCACGCCGUGUGCUCCUCUGCGUAGUAGUAAAUCACCUCGCAGGCGGACAGCGGUGCGGCCUGCCGUAAAACCCCCAACUCUUUCUGGUUGACCUCAGAUCAGGUAGGAAUACCCGCUGAACUUAAGCAUAUCAAUAAGCGGAGGA
rnacentral:misc_RNA from 1 species